CCUACGGGGGGCAGCAGUGAGGAAUAUUGGUCAAUGGACGCAAGUCUGAACCAGCCAUGCCGCGUGCAGGAAGACGGCCCUAUGAGUUGUAAACUGCUUUUGUACGAGGGUAAACGCAGAUACGCGUAUCUGUCUGAAAGUAUCGUACGAAUAAGGAUCGGCUAACUCCGUGCCAGCAGCCGCGGUAAUACGGAGGAUUCAAGCGUUAUCCGGAUUUAUUGGGUUUAAAGGGUGCGUAGGCGGUCGGAUAAGUUAGGGGUGAAAUCCGGAGGCUCAACUUUGGAAUUGCCUCUGAUACUGUUCGUCUAGAGAGUAGUAGCGGUAGGCGGAAUGUGUGGUGUAGCGGUGAAAUGCUUAGAGAUCAUACAGAACACCGAUUGCGAAGGCAGCUUACCGGGCUACUUCUGACGUUGAGGCACGAAAGCGUGGGGAGCAAACAGGAUUAGAUACCCCAGUAGUC
rnacentral:rRNA from 1 species